rnacentral:rRNA from 1 species
UACGGAGGGUGCAAGCGUUGUCCGGAUUUAUUGGGUUUAAAGGGUGCGUAGGCGGCCCGGUAAGUCAGUGGUGAAAGCCCAUAGCUCAACUAUGGAACUGCCAUUGAUACUGCCGGGCUUGAGUACAGACGAGGUAGGCGGAAUUGAAGAUGUAGCGGUGAAAUGCAUAGAUAUCUUCAAGAACACCGAUUGCGUAGGCAGCUUACUAGGCUGUAACUGACGCUGAGGCACGAAAGCGUGGGGAGCGAACAGGAUUAGAAACCCCCGUAGUCC